rnacentral:lncRNA from 1 species
ACACCCAAGAGGAGCUUGGGCAUCACCUCUUCCUUGCUGAUUUUUAGAUCUUGGUUGCUUCAUAAUCAAGAGAAGAAGAGCAAGAGAAAAAGAGAAAAAAAGAUUAAGGAAAGGAUCAAAGAGUUGAUCACGAUCCAAGCUUCGUUCAGAUUCGUAGGAUGAUUAUUCUUGAAGAAGAAAGAUCAACACCAAAGAGGGUUAUUCCAAGC